CUCGCUCAGACACACAACUUCCAGAGACUCCACACCACAGCAGGGGAAUGACUGGAAUAAAUAAGGAAUAAUCAAGGAAUCGCUCUGACUCUCAAGCUGAUGAACCACAGUCUUUCACAAAGUUCACAUAACCAUGACACAUCGCUGCAGUAUCAGAUCAGGUAUCUUCCUCCAUGAGGAUAAUAUUUCAUGUACAGGACAUUCGUUUUCUAGUCAACUUCAGCGAUGAGCCACCACCGGUGUCUGUCCAUCCAUCAUCUUCUGACCUUCAGCACUGUACCCUGACGGCUGCCCGGGGCACACUGGAGAGUGACUAAUGUCAUCUCAGCUGCCACCUCCCCGCA